rnacentral:rRNA from 1 species
UGGGGAAUAUUGCACAAUGGGCGAAAGCCUGAUGCAGCGACGCCGCGUGAGGGAUGACGGCCUUCGGGUUGUAAACCUCUUUCAGCAGGGACGAAGCGCAAGUGACGGUACCUGCAGAAGAAGCACCGGCUAACUACGUGCCAGCAGCCGCGGUAAUACGUAGGGUGCAAGCGUUGUCCGGAAUUACUGGGCGUAAAGAGUUCGUAGGCGGUUUGUCGCGUCGUUUGUGAAAACCAGCAGCUCAACUGCUGGCUUGCAGGCGAUACGGGCAGACUUGAGUACUGCAGGGGAGACUGGAAUUCCUGGUGUAGCGGUGAAAUGCGCAGAUAUCAGGAGGGACACCGGUGGCGAAGGCGGGUCUCUGGGCAGUAACUGACGCUGAGGAACGAAAGCGUGGGUAGCGAACAGG